CGCCUAUAAAUGUUUAAAAAGUACAUACAAAUCACCUGGUACACACACACAAAACUGCAUUUACACACAGAUCUGGUUACAAGUGCACAACUAUUUUUUAGACUCAUUUCACGCUUCGGGGAAGCUCCCAGAUUUGUGUGUAGAUGGUGCGUUUACAUGCUAGUAAAAGCUGGGUCAUCUGAGUUUUGCUCCGAGUCUAGUCCUCUGACGUUUCUCACUGUGCUGGUACCGAAGUGGCAAAUACUUUAGUUUGGUGGAAUACUAUAUUUAUAGACAUAUUGUGCAUUUUUGAGUGGUACAGGAGACUCAGUAGUCUGAAAAAGGACCACUGGGUGGCGGAAUGGUUCGCUGGCUGGAAAAAUAUGCAGGCAAACCCAGAAGCAAGACGGAGCGUUCCGGUGGUCUGUCCUCUGAACAGUAUUGAAGGUAGAUCUGGAACUGCAGGAACAUCAUCCUCUGCUAGACUUUAUUCACCAGAACAAACUGAAAGACAAUCUGCUGCAGCUGAGAUUCUGGGAGGUUCAACACCAAAACCUGAAGCUUCAAACUGAGCCGUCGACUGAACCAAGACGCCUUUCAAACUACAGUAGUUAACCUGCUUUGUUGGUAGAUGUUAUGGAGUCUCCUCAAUCUGUACAGACUGACCUUGGUCAUAUUUGAAUACACAGCUUUAUGGUGUUUUCUUUUGUUAAUUGAUUAUAGUAAAUAUUUGAACAUCCAUGUAAGUUUGAAGACAUUUCAUAGUUAACUUUAGGUAGCUGUGAAUCCACCCGUGUUAAUCUGAACCUAUUUUGUUAAACAUUCAACAGAUUUGUUGCAAUCUUAAAUAUUUAAUCUGUCCUUUGUGUGCAGUGAAAUGAACAUUAAAGUUAAUUCAGGAAAUACUUUUGUCAUCUGCUUCUUUCUACAGUAUAAAUUGAAUGAUGCCUCUAUUAAACUCAUAUAUUUGUGACAUCAAACUUUUUUCUGUCAUAAAGCAGUGGUCAAACUAUGGCUAAAUGCUUGUUUACUUUCAACAAAUGGAAACCAUUAUGGUAUUAAAGUAAAGAAAAUAUGAAUACUCCUCAUCUACCUCAACACAGGUAAAGUUUCCACUGUAUGCAAGUAAAUGUGAUUACAAUUGAGUGAAACUUGUACAGAUGGGCUUUAACUCCAGUUCAUAAGGGUCGGUGUCCUCCAACCUUUAGAUGUCUUUUCUUUAACGCACCCGAGUCAAAUCAUGAGGUCAUUAGCAAGACUCGACUGUCCUAAGCAGCCAUUUAAUUCAGGUGUGUUGGACCAGGACGUAUCUAAAUAUUGCAGGACACCAGACAUCGAUGCCUGGAUCUGAGGAUCCUGUUAGAGGACCAGUGUGUUCCUGCAACAGCUCCAUCGGAUCAGAAGGUAGAUGAGAUCUGAAAGAUCCACCAGAAAGUGAAAUGACACCCGUUUUGUCCUGUGUAGAGAUACAUAUAAAAUUUUAUUUAUACACAUAGAAAUUCAUUACAUUAGAAUCGAAAGGCAAUUUAUUUCACUUAAUUAUAUUCACUUAGUGAACAAAGUAAAAGACAAAUCAGAAUGUCUCACAAACUAUAUAUAAAAUAUCAGUCAGCAACAUGACUUAGGAAUUUGAUUGGAAUCUUUUGGGCAAAACAGAUACUCUAAGAACCACCCAGAGAUCAUUUUUAUGGUUUAAAGCAUGGGUGCUCAAACUUUUUGAGAGCAAGAUCUACUUUUUCUCUCACCAGCCGCCUGA